rnacentral:rRNA from 1 species
GACGAACGCUGGCGGCGUGCUUAACACAUGCAAGUCGAACGGAAAGGCCCUGCUUUUGUGGGGUGCUCGAGUGGCGAACGGGUGAGUAACACGUGAGUAACCUGCCCUUGACUUUGGGAUAACUUCAGGAAACUGGGGCUAAUACCGGAUAGGAGCUCCUGCUGCAUGGUGGGGGUUGGAAAGUUUCGGCGGUUGGGGAUGGACUCGCGGCUUAUCAGCUUGUUGGUGGGGUAGUGGCUUACCAAGGCUUUGACGGGUAGCCGGCCUGAGAGGGUGACCGGCACAUUGGGACUGAGAUACGGCCCUGACUCCUACGGGAGGCAGCAGUGGGGAAUAUUGCACAAUGGGCGGAAGCCUGAUGCAGCAACGCCGCGUGCGGGAUGACGGCCUUCGGGUUGUAAACCGCUUUCGCCUGUGACGAAGCGUGAGUGACGGUAAUGGGUAAAGAAGCACCGGCUAACUACGUG